AUGCAGCGCCUCCGAGCUAGGCGCCACACAUUUAAAGUGCAGCGCCUGGCGCUCGAGCGCUGCACUGUGACUUAUCCAGCCACUCGACUGCCCUCCCCCCUCCCCCAUCCCACACACCCCAACCCGAGCUUUGCCCCCCUCUCCCACUCUCUCCCCCUCUCAAAUCCUCUCCCAAAUCUUGCAAAUUUGGCGAAUUUGUCCGUGGAUUUCGAAGUCAAACCUUCCCUCAAGAUGGUGGAUCCUUGGAGCCAGAUGCCACCGCCGAUGGAUGCUACUACGUGGAGGCCGCCGACAACCAGGAGUAGUUAG
rnacentral:rRNA from 1 species